UACGUAGGGGGCAAGCGUUGUCCGGAAUCAUUGGGCGUAAAGCGCGUGUAGGCGGCCCGGUAAGUCCGCUGUGAAAGUCGGGGGCUCAACCCUCGAAUGCCGGUGGAUACUGUCGGGCUAGAGUGCGGAAGAGGCGAGUGGAAUUUCUGGUGUAGCGGUGAAAUGCGCAGAUAUCAGGAGGAACACCAAUUGCGAAGGCAGCUCGCUGGGACGUGACUGACGCUGAGACGCGAAAGCGUGGGGAGCAAACAGG
rnacentral:rRNA from 1 species